GACGGAAGGUGCAAGCGUUGCUCGGAAUCACUGGCGUAAAGGGCGCGUAGGCGGCCCUCCUUGUCGCGUGUGAAAGCCCCGGGCUCAACCUGGGAACGGCGCGCGAGACGGGGGGGGCUGGAGUUCGGGAGAGGAGCGUGGAAUUCCCAGUGUAGAGGUGAAAUGCGUAGAUAUCGGGAGGAACACCAGUGGCGAAGGCGACUUCCUGGCCUGUUCUUGACGCUGAGGCGGCGAAAAGCUAGGGGAGCAAACGGGG
rnacentral:rRNA from 1 species